UGGAAACGAUGGCUAAUACCGCAUACGCCCUACGGGGGAAAGGAGGGGACCUUCGGGCCUUUCGCGAUUAGAUGUGCCCAAGUGGGAUUAGCUAGUUGGUGAGGUAAUGGCUCACCAAGGCGACGAUCCCUAGCUGGUUUGAGAGGAUGAUCAGCCACACUGGAACUGAGACACGGUCCAGACUCCUACGGGAGGCAGCAGUGGGGAAUAUUGCACAAUGGGCGCAAGCCUGAUGCAGCCAUGCCGCGUGUAUGAAGAAGGCCUUCGGGUUGUAAAGUACUUUCAGCGAGGAGGAAAGGGUGUAAGUUAAUACCUUGCAUCUGUGACGUUACUCGCAGAAGAAGGACCGGCUAACUCCGUGCCAGCAGCCGCGGUAAUACGGAGGGUCCGAGCGUUAAUCGGAAUUACUGGGCGUAAAGCGUACGCAGGCGGUUUGUUANNCGANNNGUGAAAGCCCCGGGCUCAACCUGGGAACUGCAUUUCGAACUGACNNACUAGAGUUUUUGUAGAGGGUGGUANNAUUUUCAGGGGG
rnacentral:rRNA from 1 species